UUUAAUGGCAUCCUAUAUUAAAAUGCAUUUACGUUUGAUAACUGUAUAUUGAUUUGGGGUAUGAUCUACAUAUCAUAUAUAAAUAUGCUUUUGAGAAUCCUACAUUAUUAAUGGUCAAUUAUUAUAUUAAAUUAAAUCAAUUUAUUUGAAAGUACACCUUUCAAAUAAGUUCCGAAAUGAACCCCGGUAAUUUGUCUCCUGAUUUGAUCUUCAAUAAUGUUUUGCACCAAACGAUGUCAAUUCAUAUAUAAAAACUUAAGGGUAGCUGGUAUAUUUAUCAUGAAUUAUGAGUAAUGAUGAGUUAAUGCUUAUAUAAGCGUGGGUCAUAUUUUUAAAUAUGUAUAUAAGUAUAGGUCAUUCUU
rnacentral:lncRNA from 1 species